GGCCCCUCGAUUCCUCCUCCAGGAGUUCCAGGAAGCAGGCAGGCCUUGGUCUGAGACAGUGUCCUCAGGUCACAGAGCAGUAGAGGCCCGGGCAGUGUCAGCAGUGAAGGUUCUCAGAGGACAGGCUGACCAGGAGGACAGGAGCCCCAAGAGGCCCCCGAGCAGCACUGAAGAAGACCUGCCUGUGGGUCUCCCUCACCCAGCUCCUGCCCACGCUCCCGACUGCUGCCCUGACCAGAGUCAUCAUGUCUCUUGAGCAGAGGAGUCCGCACUGCAAGCCUGAUGAAGACCCUGAAGCCCAAAGAGAGGACUUGGGCCUGAUGGGUGCACAGGAUCCCACAGGCGAGGAGCAGGAGGCUACCUCCUCCUCGGAUGAGGAGGAGGAGGUGUCUGCUGCUGGGUCAUCAAGUCCUCCCCAGGGUCCUCAGGGAGGCUCUUCC